GGAGUUGUGGCUCAGUGGUAGGGCACUUGCCUAACAUACAUGAGGCACUGGGUUCAAUUCUCAGCACUGCA
rnacentral:tRNA from 1 species